rnacentral:rRNA from 1 species
CCUACGGGUGGCAGCAGUGAGGAAUAUUGGUCAAUGGGAGGAAUCCUGAACCAGCCAUGCCGCGUGCAGGACGACGGCUCUACGAGUUGUAAACUGCUUUUGUACCGGGGUAAAAUGCUCUACGAGUAGGGUUUUGAAAGUACGGUACGAAUAAGGAUCGGCGAACUCCGUGCCCACAGCCGCGGUAUUACGGUGGAUCAGAGGGUUAUCCGGAUUCAUUGGGUUUAAGGGGUGCGUAGGUUGUGUUAUAGGUUAGCGGUGAAAUACCGAUGCUCAACAUCGGGGCUGCCGCUGAUACUGUAGGACUAGAGAUCGGAUGCAGCAGGCGGAAUGUGUAGUGUAGCGGUGAAAUGCAUAGAUAUUACACAGAACACCGAUUGCGAAGGCAGCUUGCUAGGCCGGAUCUGACACUGAUGCACGAAAGCGUGGGGAUCGAACAGGAGUAGAUACCCUGGUAGUC